CACACAUAGUAGAUUAGGACUUAGGACAUGCAUUAUUCAAGACCGACCAAGGACACAUACAUAAUAUUAAAAAUUAUAGAUCAGGACUUAGGACUUAGGAGUAUACAUGGCCUCCUCUUAACAGCGUCUGGUAAUUAGCCAUGGAAUUAUUCCUAGCCCAAAUGAUUCCACAGGCUGGACAAACCAUUUGCAUUCCUGCUCCAGGCACUGAAACCGUGCUUUGACCUGGCGUAUGGCCAGGCAAGCCGCCUGGAUUAGCUCUUGGCCCUGGAUCUGGAUUUGGCGUUGGAUCACACCUUCUAUUAUCAGGGGGGAUAAUAAUAAUAUUCGGCUGAUUGGGAUUGUUGCCUCCGCCGGCUGCGGCGAUUUCUUCAGCUUCCUGAGAGAAAUCUCCUUCAAAGAUGUUUUCUCCACCUUGUACAUUUAUCUCUUGAUCGGGAGCUGUGGAGCUGCCGCCUCUGUAUCUCGUUCUCUGAGUCGCCCUACCCCUGAAGACAUUAUUUCCGUUCCUGGCAGUUACUCCUUGUUUGGGAGGUGCCAUUGUGGAACCAAGCUAAUCAAA